AGGGCUGUGGCUCAGUCUUAGAGCAUCUGCUUUGCAUGCAGAAGGUCCCAGGUUCAAUCCCUGGCAUUUCCA